GCCGCUGGUGGCGCGAUUCAGGCGCUAGGGAUUGAAAAUCCUUGUGCCGGCGGUGCGAGUCCGCCCCCGGCC
rnacentral:tRNA from 1 species